rnacentral:lncRNA from 10 species
CCAGAGAUUCUGACUUCUAGGCUAGUACCUUUCAACUCCAUAAAGCUUCAUUUUAUAGCCUGGCAUCUUCUUUUGUUAAAUAACAAAACAUUUUGAUAGUUCCUUUGUUAAAAGUAUAAGUCUGUACUUUGUUAGAAGAAAAGUAUUAAUUGGGUAGGAAAUCAGUUACGCAUCUUAGGACCUUCCUUCCCAUCUUCCCCAGAACUCUGAUUUCUUUCCUGUCUUGAAGCACUAUCUUAGAUUUUUUUGGUUGUUUCUUGAUAAAGGAUUCAUGGGAAGUAAAAUAUUUGAGACUCCUCAUGUCUGAAGUUGUUUUUAUUCAAUCUCAUACUUUAAUGAUCAUUUGGAGGGAUGUAGAAAUAUCACUGGCAGACCAUUAACCUUCAAGAUUUUGAAGGCAUUUCUCCAGUGUUUAUUGUUUCUUGUGUUGCUGUUUAUCAAGUCAUUUCAAAUCUUGUUUAUGUAGGUC